UGAUAUAUAAUGUACUAUUUUUGCACAGUGGUCAAAUUUCAUUAAUUUUUCCCAAAAAUCAUUGGAAGUAGGUGACUUCGCUAUUGUUUUUGAGUGACUAAAUCGUGAAUGUUGAUUACUCAAUUAUGGGAUAUUAAGGACUUUUAUGAAUUUACUUGAUAAACUCUUCGCCCUCAUUAAUCGAACUACAAAUUCAUGAAAAAAAGUCACUUAAAACUAGUAGGGUACAAAUAACUAUUUCGUAAAAGUAUCCAAAAUGUGACAUAAAAAAAAACUAAUCCAGGAGGCUAAAAAAAACUGGCCGAAUGAACAAUGAUGAUGCGUUUUUACUUUUGUGUUAAUUUAUGCCUACCAUUCAGGAGUCGGUAAUCAACAAUCAAAGAUCAAUUUUGGGGGGUCUUCUUAAUUUUGGAAUAAAGUUAUUAAUUUGUGUACAACUAGCUUUGUUCCUUAUUCUGUAAAAGCGAUAAACCUCGUAGCUUGUAGUACUUUUGAAUCUCAUUCCACAUAACCUUAAAAUGGAAACCAACAUAAUAAAUUUCAUUGAAAAAAUUGAUGUAACAAACUUUGCUCUUGUUAUACCAAGUGUUGCAGUUGGAAAUGUGGGGCAAUUAACUAUUGAUAUGCUAAUUACGUCUUAUCAUUUCAAGAAAUAUGCGACGGUUUGGCAUCCUGCAAUUAUCCCCACGGCGGGAGGAGAUCCGUUCUUUGAAGACCCGGUGGCUGUGUCAACAGCUUGUGAGCUGUUUGUACAUGAAGAUCUACAGUUAGUUGUAAUGCAGAUACGAUCAGGUCUCGAGAGUAAUCUGGCCUUAAGUUUCAUUCAAAACUUAAAAACAGCCUUGACUCCAUUUCAUUUCAAGCAAGUGAUCAUUCUCAGCAGUGCAUUCGCCUAUGAAUUACACAACGUCACAUCUAGUCAUUUUCGUUACGUAUCGGACGAUAAUGUAACCAGGUUUCAGGAUUUAAAUGUGCCACGAUUGGAGAAAGAUGCAGACGGAGAGUAUACAAUAUAUGGUGGCGGCUACGCUACAAGCUUGUACAAUUCUUUAAGAGACAGUUACUCGUGCACAAUACUAUUCAAGUAUACAUCGGAAGGUGAUAAUCGGCCGGACGCAUUUGAAAUGCUGAAGAUUUUAUGUAACUAUUUGCAAUUUUCUCCGACUACUACAACAAUUGUAUAUCCUAAUAGUUGGAAGUAUGCAUUCGGUAAUCCUCCCCCUCUGGGAAUUUAUUAAUGUUUAUAAUUAGUAAUUAAUGAAAUAACUUUCUAAAUAAAUGUGAUAAUCUAAUUGUUUAUUAAUUGAAUUACAUGUAAAUAUUUGAAACUAUUAGAUUGGUUCAAAUCUUGAGAUAGGAUGGAUGUGCAGCUCUCUCGUAUGUGCGUAUCUGCAAGCGAAGUAAAUGCUAAUGUGGAAAGUUGGAUACUGAAGCACUUCAGUUGCGGAAGUUCGUGGAAGGAUGAUAAGUGCUCAAUUUCAAAAUCGAAUGUGGAAUAUCACAAGCGCUACUAUCUCAACGAACGACUUUAUUGCAUUCUGCAUCACAUUGAAGUUGCAAAUGUGUCCAUGUAUUUAAAUCAACUGCGAGAAAUGGAGAUUUAUACUAGAGAAAACAUCGACAUCUUCUUAGAUUUUAUUCUGGAUGCUGUUUCAAGAGAUACAAACUGUGCUGUCCCCUACGCUCGUUUAUGUCAUGAAAUUGCAAUUGAGCAGGGGUCACAAUUUAAGCAAGCUCUUUGUAAAAAAUGCCUACAACUUUUCGAAAAAAAGUCCCUAGGGUACACGGAAAGGAGGCUAAAGAUGCGAGAGAUAAAAACUUACAAUGAAGCGUCAAAGAUUGCCAGUUUAAAACUUGAAUUAGAGCAAUACAAUAAUCAAUUACGGUCGGAAUAUACCAAGUUUAUUCAUUUUAUUGGUGAGUUGUUCCUGAACCAGCUUCUCUCAAAUAACGUAAUUGUCAACUAUAUACAUGGUUUACUGAGCCGGAGAGAUGAUGAAGGUUUGGAAUGUGCUUGUUUACUUUUAAGUAGGGUAGGUGGCUUGUUGGAGACUUCUGGCUGUGGCUUGCAUCAAAUCUUCUACAUACUGCAGUCGUUCGUUAACUGCAGUAAUCAAGGAAAUGUCAGCUAUCGAGUGUGGAACAUGGCUAAUGAACUUUUGGCCCUCAGGAGUUCACAUUGGUUAAAAAAUACAAACUGAAACGCGGGGAAAACUAAGCUUAUUUGGAACGUAUAGCAAUCCUAAAUUCGGGAACCUCAAGCUCAGAAUAAGGCCGUACAAGUUAUCUGCCAAAAGACGUUAUUUUGCAUUAUUGAGUAUGGGCUAAAUAUCGUUUUCUACUACAGAUAACCAGCGCGUUAAGUUUAACGUUACAGGGCUGAUCCAAAUCAAAAAAAUUAUAUAUACCUAUUUUGUACAUAUUAAAACGAAAGACUACAA